rnacentral:rRNA from 1 species
UACGGAGGGUGCGAGCGUUGUCCGGAAUCAUUGGGCGUAAAGGGCGCGUAGGUGGCGGGACAAGCGUGCGGUGAAAGCCUGGGGCUCAACCCCGGGUCGGCCGUGCGAACUGUUUUUUGCUUGAGCACUGUAGAGGCAGGCGGAAUUCCGGGUGUAGCGGUGGAAUGCGUAGAGAUCCGGAAGAACACCGGUGGCGAAGGCGGCCUGCUGGGCAGUAGCUGACACUGAGGCGCGACAGCGUGGGGAGCAAACAGG